AGAAGCCCUCCCACUGUUGCCCCCCAAGCACCAAGAAAACAGAGCAUCACUGCCCCAGGCAGAGAAACACAAGAGAAACCAUGUUGGAUCAGGCCAAUAGUCCAUCCAGUCCAACACUCUGUGUCACACAGUGGCCCAAACCCAGGUGCCAUCAGGAGGUCCACCAGCAGGGCCAGAAUUCCAGAAGCCCUCUCACUGUUGCCCCCCAAGCACCAAGAAGA